rnacentral:lncRNA from 1 species
ACCACCCAAAACUCACCCGAGGUUCUCGAAUCACAACGGAAUAUACCAUCAAGUCCCAAAACCUUAUACGAACUUGGUCGAACCCUUAAAUCACCUCAACAGCAUAAAAACACGAAUUACACCUGGAUUCAAACGUAAUGAUCUCUGAAAUUUUCAAAUUCUACAAACAACACUGAAACCUAUCAAAUCACACUCGAUUGACCUCAAAUAUUGUACAUAAGUUAUAAAUGACCUCACGAACCUACUCUAAUUUUCGAAAAUCCAUC